rnacentral:rRNA from 1 species
GUGCACCAGGCGCGAAACCUCCGCAAUGCGGGAAACCGCGACGGGGCUACUCCGAGUGCCAUCCGCUAAGGGUGGCUUUUCCACAGUGUAAAUAGCUGUGGGAAUAAGGGGAGGGCAAGGCUGGUGCCAGCCGCCGCGGUAAAACCAGCUCCUCGAGUGGUUGGGAUGAUUAUUGGGCCUAAAGCGUCCGUAGCCAGCCUAGUAAGUCCUUGGCUAAAUCCGUCAGCCUAACUGACGAGGUGCUGAGGAUACUGCUGGGCUUGGGGGCGGGAGAGGCUGAGGGUACUACUGGGGUAGGGGUGAAAUCCUAUAAUCCCAGCAGGACCACCUGUGGCGAAGGCGCUCAGCUGGAACGCGCCCGACGGUGAGGGACGAAAGCUAGGGGAGCGAACCGGAUUAGAUACCCGGGUAGUCC